GAGAGUUAUCUCCAUGAGGAGAACGGGAUGGGAGCAUUAAGCACAUCCCCUCCAGGUGAAUCGCCCCAAACCAGCUCCUUUUCUGCAAAACGCAUAUCAGCUUCGAAACCCAUCGUUAAUGGUAGAUUCAUCAAGCAUCCCUCUUGAGAAUUGUGUGUGGAAAUAGCAAUGUCGAGUACCAUCAAUGACAGCUGCUGCAAUUCGUUCAUCGUUAUUACUACUGGAGACAGAGACCUCUCUAUGCCUUAGAUCCUGGCACGAUGCCCUCAAUUCCAGAGCUGUGAAAGCCAUCUCAGGCCGGAAUCGUUGGGAGCCGCUAACCAUAACGAUGGGGGUAUCUGUAUAGAGGGGUUUAUUUGGGAAUACAAUAAACUCAUACAAAUGCUACUGUAUGUUGUACGAUUGUACAAUACGCAGGCCUAAUACGUCAUAUCCAAA